rnacentral:rRNA from 1 species
AAGUCCCGUAACGAGCGCAACCCUUAUCAAUAGUUGCCAGCGGUUUGGCCGGGCACUCUGAAGAAACUGCCGGUGACAAGCCGGAGGAAGGCGGGGAUGACGUCAAGUCCUCAUGGCCCCUACGGGCUGGGCUACACACGUGCUACAAUGGCGGUGACAGCGGGAAGCGAAGGCGCGAGCUGGAGCGAACCCCGAAAAGCCGUCUCAGUUCGGAUUGCACUCUGCAACUCGAGUGCAUGAAGUCGGAAUCGCUAGUAAUCGCGGAUCAGCACGCCGCGGUGAAUACGUUCCCGGGCCUUGUACACACCGCCCGU